rnacentral:lncRNA from 1 species
CCUGUACUCUCUUUCUCUUUCUUUCUGAUACAGUCUUGUUGUGUUUGUUAAAUUGCCAGGUUAUCCAUUGGCUUUACUCGGUGUUAUGUUUUUUUUUUUUUGGCUUGUUAUUAUUUAAGAAAUAGUGUUGAGCUAAUUCACUUUAUAAACAAAAAGAACACCAUUCUCAAUGAAAUUGAAAGAAACCCAUUAAUCUCAAUUUUAAAUUUGGGAUUUGUUGAAUUAUGAACCUUUUCUUUUUUCGUCAAUGCAUGGAUAAGAUUUGGAGCCCAUUUUAUUAGGAGAUGAACUAUGGGUUCAUUCAUUUUAUUUAUUAUUAAUAGUGUUUCUUCUUCUUCUUCUCAAUAAAACUCAUUAAUUAAUAUUUGACAAUCUGCUGUAACCAAUAGUUUUUGGAGGUCAUAUGCAAAAGUUUGGGAAAGACGAGUCGCUUUGCAGCAGGCACCAAGGCGGGAUUUGCAGUGUCCUUAAUAAACAGGAAGUUGGAUGUCGGGGCACCUUUUGUUUUGCAUAUUGAAGCCGUUAAGGAUGGGGAGGAACCCAUUAGCUUUGGACCAGAUGCGGUGCUUGUUGAUUGUGGCGGUGGCUGGAAGUUGCAAACAUUUACUGUGUUAGAUUAUGGUGGUAUUAGCUUCUUUUAGUGUAGAUUAUCUUGCUGUCUUCUCUUGUGGUUGCAGUGUAGAGUUUGCUUAAGUGUUGGUUUUGCUAACAUGAUUCUUUUCUGAAGUAGGUGUCAGACAAGCAGAACACUUUCAGCAGAUUCCAAAACAGGUAUGGAUUUCUACAUUGUCUUCAUCAAGUUUUGUUUUUUAUCGUAUCCAUCAAGUAGAAGUUGCUGUAUAUACAUAUAUUGUUUGAUAAAAGAAACUUGGAUGUAUUUACAAUAUCGCUAUAUAGGGUACUGGGAUAGUCCUCUUUCAACUCAUAAUCCAUUGCAAAACUUGAAAAACUACGUCUCAAUAAGUUCUAUUGAGUUUUUUUGUUUGAGUCAAUAUUUAUUUCGAUACCAUGGAGUUGAUGAACUUGAUUUUCUGAAUUCCUAAAUAUGUUACUAAUGAAUGAGAUAUGGAAGAUAGUAUUGGAAACUAGGCUGUAUUUUUGGGUAAAACCAAAUAUAGGAACAUGACUUUAGCUUUUCUUUCAAAUAUAUUUACCAGAAGAGGUCAAGAUGAAUGAUUGCAUUUCAGAUUUCAAUGAGUUUAUUUUAUAUAAGAUUAUUUUAAUUAAAAAUAGGAUUGUGGCCUGGCAAUGUGUUCCCAGCACUGAACUACUACCUGUCUCAAGAUUCUAGACUAAUUUGAUGCCUGUCUGUCAGAAGAAAUUUGAAUGGAAUCAAAUUGGAAAUAAGACAGCCUUUGCUUUUCCCUUCUUUUAAUCUAUGCAUAGCUUGGUGUUGGUAGACAGCCUAGUGCUGGUUGCCUUCAUUUGAAGGCUGUAAUAUUGGCUGGUUAAAAAAUGUGACAAAAGACAAUAGUCUGUGUACCUCGGUGAGACCUUUUUAUUUUCGAAGAACUAUGAUUUGAUCUGUAGUCAUAGUUGCUGCCUUACUAUAUAAAUCCAUACAGAUAUAUAGAGAGACUGGUAGGUUUCAACCCACAAGUUCACUCUGUUCUGUAUACCAUAUGGCACCAUUAUAAUUAGAAAGUUAUUCAUUAGAAGAAUACUAAACUCUGUUCUUGAUGAAUAUGAGGUUAAAGGCCUAAUCUGAUAAUGAUCUAUUUAUGAACCGAGUAUAAUGCUGCUUAGUGCCAUAAUUUUUCCUCUGUGAGAGACUUUGGCUAAAUGAUCUAAAAUCUUCUUUUACUUUCAGCAGAGUUCUGAUGGUUCUCGUCCUGCAAAGACAGCUACCAACCCAGGCAUCAGUUUUUUGUACAUGGCAAAGAUAUUAGUAGCCUUCGUUUUGCUUUUUGUGCUUGGUGCAAGUUUUACAUUAGCUCUUGAGAAUCUUCCUAGACUCAUAUUGUUCAUCAACUCGUUCAUGUAAAUACUUGCUGGCAUUCUUCUAUUGAUGUAUGGAGUGAAUGAUGCAGAGUUUGUAUUUCUUUCUGAAUAAUUUGAAUUGAGGCCCUUGAGAUUUAUAACGCCAGAAGAGAAGAGCAACAGCAGAUGAAGGCCUCGUAACAGGAUGAUCAAAAUCUUUCAGAGGACCAGUGAAUAAAACCUUGCACUGAUAAUGGGGUUGGAAUCAGAAUUAAUCUUUCCAACCCCAUUAUAUAUAUAUUACAGCCCAAGAUUUGUUCUCUCCUUGGUUGAACCAUCGAUAUGCUGUUUGAUUCGUUACCUUGUCAAGAUCCUGAAUGUCUGUGGCUUGAGUUGAGAAUAAAAAUAAACCUGAGUUGCAAAUACAAGAUUGGGAAGUGAAUCUUUUCAUUUCCGGAAGGAGAUGUGGGGGGUGUUGUUUCUGGUCGACAGUUCAAUCAAGGUUGUCAAUUCUAUUUCGUUUCUUUUGGAAUGGCCGAAAUAUUUUAUACCAAUUAAAAAAAAAAAUUUCAUCUUAUUUUAAAUCUCGGUCUGUUCCUGAUUUUUCAGUUAAAUUUUAGUUGGAACGUUCCGGUUUCAUUCUACAUGUUUCGUUCCUCUCUUGAAAAGCCAUUGAAUCACAUUGAAUUUUAUUCAAUUUAAUUAAUUAAACCACUCAAGUAUAAAAAGCUCUUUUUUAUUAUUAUUUUCAUUAACAAUGAUUAAAAGGUCUUUGAAUAAGGCUGGGUUUCAAAAUAAACUUUGUAAAACUUGAAACCUAAACUCUAUUUGUCUUAAAAGAAAACAUAUUAUAAACUACAUUGAUUUAAUGUUAUAUAUAUAUAUAUAUAUAUAUAAAGUAUUGAAAUAAUAAUAUUUUAAAUAUAUUUAUUAAGAUCGGACCAGUUUGGCAGGUCUACAAGAAAAAAUAAAUUAUGGAAAUUUAUGAAUAUAAAAUUUAAAAAAAAAUUGAUGACAAGAGAAAAAAAAAUUAAAAAGAAAAAAAAACAUAUUAAAAUUUAUAGUGUUUUGUAAGUGCGCGAACAAUAUUUUCCAUGACUCUUUUAGGUUUCUUUUAAUUUAAUAAUAUUCAUAAGUUUUUAUAAUUGAGGUAACUCUGUAUAUGGCCAACGAAAGGUAAAACUAGUUUUGGUCAUAAAUUAAAGGGGGUAGAUUUGUUUAUUUAAAGUGAAGAAUUCUUAAUAAAAUUUGAAUCAGGACAUGAAUGUUGAUAAAUUGAGUAUUGUCGCACGCGUGCGGUGUCGCGGCGAAAUAUUCCACUUCAAUCUAAAUGUAUAUCUAAUGUAUCUGACAAAUAUGAGGAGAUAAGAAAUUCUUGUCGUUUAUCGGUGGAAAAUAGAAUGCGAGUCGCUACCUAAUAUUUUGGUCACUAGGAACCCUAACAUGUCUGAGAGAUCGGGUACGGGGACCGAUUGCGUAAAUGGAAGGUAUUAACACUCCAAAUACGUCUUACCUAAGGUAAGCUGCAUUGUUUGAUUUGUCUGAUAAAAAGCUAAGGUGUUAUUAUAAUUCCAGUUUUAGGUCUGUCUAUGGUUCAAGAAAAAUCCAGUAUUAAGCAAUUUUGAUAAUAAUAUGCAGGAAAAUCAAUAAAAUUUUUUUAAGGAUUUUUCAUAAUUUUGAAAACAAAACAUUUAUUUUAUUUUAUAUUUUUUUGAUGUCUUGACGAAAACCAAGUAUUUUUAAUACUGGAUGUGUAUCUUUACGGUAUAAAAAUACAAACCAAUAUUAAGCAAUUUUGAUAAAAAUAUGCAGGAAAAUCAACAAUUUUUUAAAGGAUUUUUCAAUUUUUUUAAAUUUUUUAUAUAUCUAUAUCUAUAUCUAUAUAUAAUAAUAUAAAAAUAGUAUAAUAUAUAAUAUUAGGUGGGUUGGGCAGGACUCAGCCCCAAAAGGGAUUGGGCCGAUCUCGGCCUAACAAAUCUCUCUUUUUAUGUCUGGGCCAGACCCGACCCAGACAUCUGGGCUUGGCCAGAACCAGCCUGGCCCAUAUAACAACUGGCUAGGCUAGAGAAGAAAACAAACAUCACCAUUGGGCUAGAAUCAGACUGGCCCAGCAACAAAACUGACGGGGGGAAUUAUCCCCCCAACCCUCCUGCAUGCAGAACGAUAUUCGUUCUACAUGCAGGAGGGAACACGACCAUCGAAAGAAAACAAUGAAGGGGAAGAAGGGUUACCUGGCGUGGAGGAGGCGGUGCUGUAUUGGUCAGACUGCUUCGCUGGCAUUGCCGUGGUGGAGGUCGGUGGCGGUGUCUUUGCUCACGGACGGCGGCUACAAGCAGUAAUGUUACUGUUUCAAGCGGCGGAGAAAGAGGCUCCUGAUCUUCCCUUCUCCUCUGUUCUCCUCCUUUUCUUCUGCUGCGUUUCCUUUUUUUUUUUUGUUCUAGUUUAGACGUGUUGUUUUCAAGUCCCAACCUCUUCCAGUGUCAGUAUCGUUUUUCCUUAACUCUUACGGUCCACUCUCCUUUACCUCUCACUGUCCCUCUCAGCCAGUUUUCUCUCCCUUUUGGUUUGUUUUCCUUUUCAUCUAACCCUCACAAUCCCUCUCCUUUUCGGUUUGUUUUUUUUCCUCUUUGGUUCAUUCUCUCCACUCUUCGGUUCGUUCUCUCCUCUCCUUUUUUCCUCCCCCGCGUGCUAGCGUUCAAUCUCCAUUUAUAAGGGCAAGGGAGCGAGGCCUCUUUAUUGUUGUGCAUGGGGAGCAGGGCAGCGCUGGGUUGGUUGGUUGGCAAGGCGCGACGCCCCUGAUUUCUCAUCAUUAAGGUGUGUGGGGUUUCAGGUCUUUUGCAGGGCAAGCGGCUCGAAGGAAUUAAAGAAGAAGAAAACUGCCUACCUUCCCCUGCUGCACGUCCGGGGGAAGGAGAAAGAAGAACAGUGUCGCUCAAAACGACAAUGUUCUGCUCUCUGUUUGUUUUUUGUGGGGACCAAAAAAUGGGUUACAACAAGUAUUAUGGUGGUCAAAGUUGUUGUGAGAGAUAGAAUUGUAUUAAGAUUGGAGGGGAGGUUGGUUGUUUGUUGUAGAAAAAAAAUACAUAAGAAAGAAGGAAAAAUAGAGGAGACGAAGAGGAGGUCGAUUGUUAGGUCAUAAAUUAAAUAUUAUCGAUGGUAUGACCAAUAAAAUUAUUUCGCCGGUAACAACAUCGGUCAUUUUAUCUGUAAAAAUAUCACAUGACCAUACAAUUUGUUUUUUUUAAUCCCACUGUAGUAUUCUCUAUAAUUCUCACGGUAUUUACCGAGAAAUUUUUUUUGUAAAUAUAUUUACAGAUGUAUUUUACUGUUCAGUUAAUUACAUCGGUAGUUGUCUCUAAAAGUCAUACAUUAUCAUACUAUUUGACUUUUUUAUUUUCCUUCUACAAAUCCAUUGGUAUAUACAAAAAUAAUUUUUUUGUUAGUGUUUACCAAUGAAUACAGUAAUCGAAAAUUACGUUAGUAAAGGUCAUUAUAAUAUACCGAGGGAAUGACCUGGAAAUCAAGGGAAUUACUUAGUCGUUAAUUUUAGGGUCUCGAGGGUUAGUUGAGGUAUGCAUAAGUUGACUCGGACAUCCACGAUUAAAAAAAGAAAAAGAAAAAAAAAGGGAGGUUCCAUCAUUUGCUGCAAGAAAAAAGGUCCGUCCAUGUAAUCUACUUUAACCGGAAAUAUUCCCAUAAGAAAGGAAUUAAUGAAAUUAUAGACCUAACAAACUAACUACAGAUAGAGUAUUGUCAUCCAGCUUUCAAUUAAUUAAAAUACCAAGACAGCUCAAUAAUCUAUAUGCCGAAGAAAUACCGACUUUUUCUUUCAAUAUAAUUUGUUGAAUAACUUGGAAAUCAGGAAACUGUAAAAAAAAAUAAAAAAAAAAUCCUUUCUUGAGUUGGAUUAGAAAUACAAACCUACACCAUUACGUGGAAAAGUCUUCCUGUUAUGAAACGGAUUAAAAAAAACUAGUAAAUUAAGUCCAGACAGUACAAGGAUUUGCAUGUACAUUGCCCUGUUAUAUACAAAAAUCUAUUUAAUAAAGUCCGGAUAGUGCAUGGAUUCGCAUGCACAUUGCCCUAUAUAUACAUGCAGUGCGCAGCCAGCCAGAUAUAGCACCCCCAACAUAUUCAGUUCUUUGAUUUGCUUGUUUUGAGUUGUCCCUGGGUGAUUUGUUUCUUCGAGUUAGAGAUUUAGCAAAUAUAUCCCUAAAGAUAUGGCACGGCUGUGCGGUUGCGGUCAAAGUGAUCAUCAUAUGUUCAUUGCUGAUAUGAAUAUUGAUGAAUAUGACGAUGGGUCUUUUGAUCAACUGUUUCAAAAGUAUAGACAAGAAACAGAUGACAAUGAUGAGGCAUUUACGUUGAUGGAGGAGGAAAUUGUCAAGGGUUUGUUGUGGAUGAGGAACAAUGGUGCCAAGAGAGAGUCUUCCAAGUCCAGAAGUACAAGCCCCUCUAGUGAUGGUUGUAGCUAUGCUCAAUUUGCACACCCACUUGUGAUAUUGCCUGUUACACCCAAGAAGAAGAGAAGUGGAGAUCAAGGGUUUAUAUAUCCCAAGAAAAGCCCAAGUAGUUAUGAUAACAGUCAAGAUGACGACGACGAUCAUCAUCAUAUUCUUGAGGAUGAGGAGGGUAGGAAAGAGAGAGGAUCUGGAAUUCUUGAUGGGUUUGUCAAGAAAAACAAGUACUCUAAGACUAAUGUUGCUGAUGAAGUUAAGAAAGAGGGGAGACAGAAAGAGAAAAGGAUCAAUCGUACUAAUAGAAAACGACACUUUGCACUUGAAGAUAUUGACGAGGAGGAGGGAAUGAGGUCGACAAGCAAACGAAGGAAGGGUGAUUCAAGGGCACUGGACUUGGGUUUUGAUUUCUCUGAUGAAAUAAAAGCUCUGAUCGGAGAAGAUGGAGAUAAAGAUUUCAAGCUAAGGAUAAGGAAAAAGUUGUACCAAACCGAUACGAGCGCACACCAUGAUCGUUUCACAAUGCCUUGUAGACAAAUUAAUGAAUGCGAAAGUCUUUUAACUGGCGGUGAGAAGACGAAUAUCUGUCAAGGCGAUGGCAUAGGAGUAACAUUGGUAGAACUGGGGCUUGGUGAUGUAAAGGAUAGCACGUUCACCAGUCAACUAAGGCUGAAGCAGUGGAACAUGAAGAACAGCAGUUCAUAUGCGCUAAGAAGUAGCUGGAAUCACGUUAUGGUUAGGAAUGUGGGAGCGCUCCAUCAAGAUGACUAUGUGCAGAUGUAUUCCUUUAGGCGCAACGGGGAACUCUGGUUCGUCCUCGUCAAAGAGUCUGAUCAUGAAGAAGGCCGCACAGAUGGUGUCUUUGGAAGGACUAGUAGUGCUCAAGGGGAAUGAUGGAAAAGGUCCUGCUACAGUUUUGCUAGCCAAGAGAAGGAGAAUGGAGACGGUGCUAGCAAGUACAAGCCAUGCUUAGAUAGAUAUAUAGAGAAGAGCAACCUUAAGCUUAAUGUUUAAUUACAGUCAUUCAUGUCUUCUUUGAGUAAUGGGCGACGAAUUUGCUUUUAAUAAAUAUAGUUUUUUCAGAACAAUUUAUUAAUUAGUUCUUUAUAUAUAUAUAUAUAUAUAUAUGUUUCUAGUAAUUUCAUACAGAAUCAAAUUCAUUUAUUUAGCCAAAAAAGUCUCAUGGAUCAUGAGCUCAUGGUCUUGUUAUACAUUGAGCCCAUGUAUUAGCUCGUUGGCCCAUAUUGGCCUACUAUUAAAAACACGAGCUGAAAUUCUUCUCUCCCUCUGGAUUCAUAUCAUGGCAGAACAAGAAGAAGAAGAUUCAAAAAAAAGAAGAAGAAGAUUCAAAAGUCAAUCCUCCUCCUCCUCCUGUACUCUCUUUCUCUUUCUUUCUGAUACAGUCUUGUUGUGUUUGUUAAAUUGCCAGGUUAUCCUUUGGCUUUACUCAGUGCUAUGUUUUUUUUUUGGCUUGUUAUUAUUUAAGAAAUAGUGUUGAGCUAAUUCACUUUAUAAGCAAAUAGAACACCAUUCUCAAUGAAAUUGAAAGAAAACCAUUAAUCUCAAUUUUAAAUUUGAAUUUUUAUUGCAUUUAAUUUAACAAAACCUAUAUGGGAUUUGUUGAAUUAUGAACCUUUUUUUUUUGUCAAUGCAUGGAUAAGAAUUGGAGCCCCUUUACAUUUAUUCGGAGAUGAACUAUGGUUUCAUUCAUUUUAUUUAUUAUUAAUAGUGUUUUUAUUCUUCUUUUUCUCAAUAAAACUCAUUAAUUAAUAUUUGACAAUUUGCUGUAACCAAUAGUUUUUGGAGGUCAUAUGCAAAAGUUUGGGAAAGACGAGUCGCUUUGCAGCAGGCACCAAGGCGGGAUUUGCAGUGUCUUUGAUAAACAGGAAGUUGGAUGUCGGGGCACCUUUUGUUUUGCAUAUUGAAGCCGUUAAGGAUGGGGAGGAACC